ensembl:snRNA U2 U2 spliceosomal RNA
AUCCCUUCUCGACUUUUGGCUAAGAUCAAGUGUAGUGUCUGUUCUUAUCAGUUUAAUAUUUUAUUUUAUUUUUUCGCAAAGCAAGAUUUAUUGAAGUCAGAAACCUCCU